rnacentral:rRNA from 1 species
AACGAACGCUGGCGGCAUGCCUAACACAUGCAAGUCGAACGAGACCUUCGGGUCUAGUGGCGCACGGGUGCGUAACGCGUGGGAACCUGCCCUUAGGUUCGGAAUAACUCCCAGAAAGGGGUGCUAAUACCGGAUAAUGUCUUCGGCCCAAAGAUUUAUCGACUUUGGAUGGGCCGGCGUUGGAUUAGCUAGUUGGUAGGGUAAAAGCCUACCAAGGCGACGAUCCAUAGCUGGUCUGAGAGAAUGAUCAGCCACACUGGGACUGAGACACGGCCCAGACUCCUACGGGAGGCAGCAGUGGGUAAUAUUGGACCAUGGGCUGAAGCCUGAUCCAGCAAUGCCGCGUGAGUGAUGAAGGCCGUAGGGUUGUAAAGCGCUUUUACCCGGGAUGAUAAUGACAGUACCGGGAGAAUAAGCUCCGGCUAACUCCGUG